UACGUAGGGAGCAAGCGUUGUCCGGAAUCAUUGGGCGUAAAGCGCGCGUAGGUGGCUUCGUAAGUCCGUUGUGAAAGUCAAAGGCUCAACCUUUGAAAGCCGAUGGAUACUGUGAAGCUAGAGUACGGAAGAGGCGAGUGGAAUUCCUGGUGUAGCGGUGGAAUGCGCAGAUAUCAGGAGGAACACCAAUAGCGAAAGGCAGCUCGCUGGGACGUUACUGACACUGAGGCGCGAAAGCGUGGGGAGCGAACAGG
rnacentral:rRNA from 1 species